UGUCUUGUAGUAUAUAUCUUAUUACCAUAAACUGCAACUUUAUCAAAACUUUUAGUCAAGACAU
rnacentral:tRNA from 1 species